rnacentral:tRNA from 1 species
UUAGUUAAAGCCAAAAAGAGGCAUAUCACUGUUAAUGAUAUCAUUGAAUUUAUAAUUCUAACUAAA